GCCUGCUUAGCAUAGUGGCUAAUGCGUUGCACUUGUAUAACCACUCCGCUCUUCGGAACGGAGCAACGACGACAUGCAAAGAUCACAGGUUCGAUUCCUGUAGUAGGCA